AUACAAAGGCUUGGCUAAUACUGCAGUUUGGGAUCCACAGCCUACAAAACCCCACAGCUCCUAAGAAUUCUCUCACCUGCCUUCUGCCCUUAAGCUCCGGUAGAUUGCAAAUAACCUGCUUUCUUUCUGUUCCCGAGCUGCGUUCGGACCCGUCGGAUCGUAAAUCCCACGUAAGGUCGGAAGAUUUGAACUUUCUACUUGGACACCUAACACCCACAGUCCUCCAGCUGCGUUCGGACCCGUCUGAUCGUAAAUCCCAUGUAAGGUACCUGCCGUCGGAAGAUUUGAACGUUCUACUUGGACACCUAAAACCCACAGUCCUCCAGACAGAAAGACAACAGGUACAAAGCCCUAAGGAUUAUAAAGGUAUGCUGCUUACCAUCAUCUUAGUGACCAAGGCAGCGAAGCUGUUUCUGUACCUUGGAACAGUCUUCCCUGACAAGCCAGAGAACAGUGAUAAAGCCACCAGCCUUGGGAUCAGGACUGAAAAGGCAAGAGUGAUGGAGAUUUCUCCUGCGCUAAGCCAAGAGAAGGUUUCAGCACUUCAGACAGCUCCCACCGAAGUAGCCGCGCUCCCAGCUGCUUGCAGAUGUUGAAAAGGAAAGCCUCGGUUUGUCUUGAGGUUGUCAGCAGGUGCAAGACACGUAAUAAAAUGCAAUGUGUUCCUAAUUCAUUGCAUAUCCUCAGCUUUAAAUUUGGGUAGCAAAAUGAUUACUCUAGAUUCUUCAGUCUUGGCAAGUAUCUGUACCUAAAAAGCAGUUUUUCUACCUAAUGUCUUUUUUUGUUUUUGUUUUUCAAUACACCUUAAGCAAAUUGAAGCUUUUGUUCCUGGAGGAAAA
rnacentral:lncRNA from 1 species